GGGGUUGUAGCUCAGUGGUAGAGCACUUGCCUAGCAUGUGUGAGGCACUGGGAUCCAUUCUCAGCAACACAU
rfam:Ictidomys tridecemlineatus contig107349, whole genome shotgun sequence.